rnacentral:tRNA from 5 species
GCCCAAGUGGCGGAAUGGUAGACGCAGGGGAUUCAAAAUCCCCCGCCUUCACGGGCGUGAGAGUUCGAAUCUCUCCUUGGGCACCA